AGAUUGAACGCUGGCGGCAUGCCUUACACAUGCAAGUCGAACGGCAGCACGGGAGCAAUCCUGGUGGCGAGUGGCGAACGGGUGAGUAAUAUAUCGGAACGUGCCCAGUCGUGGGGGGAUAACGCAGUGAAAGCUGUGCUAAUACCGCAUACGAUCUAUGGAUGAAAGCGGGGGACUCGCAAGAGCCUCGCGCGAUUGGAGCGGCCGAUAUCAGAUUAGCUAGUUGGUGGGGUAAAAGCCCACCAAGGCGACGAUCUGUAGCUGGUCUGAGAGGACGACCAGCCACACUGGAACUGAGACACGGUCCAGACUCCUACGGGAGGCAGCAGUGGGGAAUUUGGACAAUGGGCGCAAGCCUGAUCCAGCAAUGCCGCGUGCAGGAUGAAGGCCUUGGUUGUAAACUGUCUUUUGUAACGGAACGUAAAAGGUCCUUUACUAAUACGAACGGGCCAGUGAACGGUACCGUAAGAAUAAGGACACCGG
rnacentral:rRNA from 1 species